rnacentral:lncRNA from 1 species
CUCAUUCUUGCCUGAGGAGCUGAAGCCAUUCAUAGGGUAAUACGUCCCAGGCGGCUGGUCAGCCUUUUAUAUAGGGAUGGUUUUCUUCGUUCAAUGUCUCUGCUCAGUCUCUGCUCAGUCUCUGCUCAGUCUCUGCUCAGUCUCUGCUCAGUCUCUGCUCAGUCUAAUGCAUUAAAGCUUGUCUGCAGAAGGAUCCGAGUGUCCUGCGUGUAUUUCUUGCUGGCGAGGAAUACAGAGCGGGCGCGGGACAUAUGGUGCCGAAACCCGGGACGCUUAACAUCUCCAGCAUAUGGUGCCGAAACCCGGGAAGCUUAACAUCUCCAGCACCUCAGAGACCCCUCUAACGAGGCGGAUUCAGAACUGCAGGGUGGUAAAUUCGGAGAGGAUGAAGAGAAUCCCCUGUGGAUCCCAGAAAGACUCACCCGAAGAGUCCCUUCAGACCUCCAAAAGUCGGAACUCCACCCUCUACCCCCGGGAGUUGAGAGCCGCUAUUGUUAUCCAGAUUAACUCCUGCCCUUGGCGGAGCGAUUGUCUCUACUUAAGGGGUGGGGGUAAUUGUUCGAUGCAGCCGUUUACAGAUUGCUGUUAUUUUUGGCUGGCCUGUGAGAAAAGGGGUGGGUGUAAUUGUUCGAUACAGCCGCUUAUGGAUUACUAUUACUUUUGACUGGCAUGUAAGCUCCAGGGCUCAAACCAAGAGAUCAUCCAAGCGCUUAUAUCUUUGGCUACUAAGCGAUAGGCCGCCGGCCAGACAGCUCUUGCACACCCGGAGCCUAGGCUCACUGCACAGGGUAGAGUGUCUGGUUUGUGCAGCCCCAAAAAGAGGGAUGCUGAGCAUAGGCAUCGCACAGAGUUGCCUAUUAUACAGGCUUCUCUGGGAGGUACGUUGACCUGCAUAAGGGUUACCUGCCUUGAGAACCCCCUUUCCCAGAAAAACGGCAGAGGACAGGUCGGGAGUACUUCGGGUCAAACUGACAGCCUGAUGGUGACUCUCGUACACAGUCUUAAUGUUUGAUUUUGGGAAGGUCAACCCCUGCCUCUAUCCCUCAACAUAUGGGUGACCUAUUUGCUUGUAAUAAUAUAAAGCCUUUUCAUUAAUUAAUAAAAAAAGGGUGAUAUGUAGGAAGCCGGUUCCU